GACGAACGCUGGCGGCGUGCCUAAUACAUGCAAGUAGAACGCUGAAGAGAGGAGCUUGCUCUUCUUGGAUGAGUUGCGAACGGGUGAGUAACGCGUAGGUAACCUGCCUGGUAGCGGGGGAUAACUAUUGGAAACGAUAGCUAAUACCGCAUAAAAUUGAUUAUUGCAUGAUAAUUAAUUGAAAGAUGCAAUUGCAUCACUACCAGAUGGACCUGCGUUGUAUUAGCUAGUUGGUGAGGUAACGGCUCACCAAGGCGACGAUACAUAGCCGACCUGAGAGGGUGAUCGGCCACACUGGGACUGAGACACGGCCCAGACUCCUACGGGAGGCAGCAGUAGGGAAUCUUCGGCAAUGGGGGGAACCCUGACCGAGCAACGCCGCGUGAGUGAAGAAGGUUUUCGGAUCGUAAAGCUCUGUUGUAAGAGAAGAACGGGUGUGAGAGUGGAAAGUUCAC
rnacentral:rRNA from 1 species